rnacentral:lncRNA from 1 species
GCACAGAAAUCGGUAAUUUCACUUGCAGUCCCUCUGUCUUUUAAUAGUCAACUCAUAACAUGGUAUUAGAGCCUUUAUGAUCAGUCUACAGUUUAAUACUUGUUGCGUUCAUUCUUCUAUAUAAAUGUUAAAUUUAAAAAUUAGUUAGACCGUGUAUGUGGGCCCAUGCAUGGCAGAAUUAGUUGGACAGCAUAUGUGUUUCCACCAUGUCUCAAACCCAAAGAACUCUUCUGAGAGAGGGCAUGUUUAAAUCUACAAUCAUUUUUGUUUUCAUCCAACAGUUUAAACCUUUCAGGAUAGUGGGUUCAAG